GAUGAACGCUGGCGGCGUGCCUAAUACAUGCAAGUCGAGCGAAUGGAUUAAGAGCUUGCUCUUAUGAAGUUAGCGGCGGACGGGUGAGUAACACGUGGGUAACCUGCCCAUAAGACUGGGAUAACUCCGGGAAACCGGGGCUAAUACCGGAUAACAUCUUGAACCGCAUGGUUCGAAAUUGAAAGGCGGCUUCGGCUGUCACUUAUGGAUGGACCCGCGUCGCAUUAGCUAGUUGGUGAGGUAACGGCUCACCAAGGCAACGAUGCGUAGCCGACCUGAGAGGGUGAUCGGCCACACUGGGACCGAGACACGGCCCAGACUCCUACGGGAGGCAGCAGUAGGGAAUCUUCCGCAAUGGACGAAAGUCUGACGGAGCAACGCCGCGUGAGUGAUGAAGGCUUUCGGGUCGUAAAACUCUGUUGUUAGGGAAGAACAAGUGCUAGUUGAAUAAGCUGGCACCUUGACGGUACCUAACCAGAAAGCCACGGCUAACUACGUGCCAGCCGCCGCCGUAA
rnacentral:rRNA from 1 species